rnacentral:misc_RNA from 1 species
GUAGGUGAACCUGCGGAAGGAUCAUUACAAAAGAAAGUAAAAAGUAGAUUCGGCUUCCUUCCCAUGAAGAGGUUGCUCGAGAGAGGCUAUUACGCAAGAUUUUUUCGGAUGUCGUUCUUAACGGGUUGGCCCCCCCGAGGGGUUGUUACCGACAUUCUUCUGGAAUCGCGAAAUAGGCCGGGAGUGUGGCAUUAGUAUCCUGCCCUUACACGCACUCUUCUCUGGUCUCUCGCCCAUUCUUCUUUGCUGGUCCAUACCGGGGGGGGGGGAGCCGGAUUGAAUUUACACUUUUUGAUAAACCCCACCGUGCAUUUAUUGAAAGAACCUUUACCCGAUCAAAUUGAUUGGGAAAAAAAAGGAAAAAGGGGAAAGACGCAGUUUUUCCCCUUUUGACUUUUUUUAACCAUUUUGCCUGUAUAUAUUUUGACUGAACUUUUAUAAAAAUUUAAUACAACUUUCAACAACGGAUCUCUUGGCUCUC